AAAAUGCGAUAAGUGGUGUGAUAUGCAAGUCCAAAACUUAUACGUGAACCAUCGAAUUGUUGAACGCACUGCAUCGAGCCUUACCCAGGAACGAUACGCCCCAUUGAGCGUCAUUAACAUCUUCGCGACACUGUCAUUCCUUUGGCAUGUCCGGGUUCGGGAUUCACAGCUUGCGCUGCGCUUCCUUAGAUACAUGGCUGCACGCAGACCGACGGUCUCCUUGUCAUAAAUGCCGGGGACGACUCGACGUGUGCGGGCGAGAUCGGUCUUCCCAGACCCGAUCAACCGCGGCGGCCGGUGUCAUGCCGGUCGAUGCACUUUUACACAUGACCUCACGGGGGCGGGACGACCCGCUAGACUUAAGCAUAUUAAUCAGCGGAGGAAAAGAAACUAACAAGGAUUCCCCUAGUAACUGCGAGUGAACAGGGAUGAGCUCAAUGUGUGAAUCAGGUCGGGAUUAGCUCCUUGCUUGAGUUGUGCACUAUAGACAGCGGAUCAGCGCUUGAAGACUCGUGGUGGAUAUCCGAUGAAACUCGGUGCUAUUAAGGGUCAUAGUCCUGUACUUGCCUUAUGAGUCUUUGCGCAUUUGACCGAUGUUYUGCGAGUCGCGUAGUUUUGUAAUGCUGCGCCAAUUUGGAGGUAGAGCCCUUCUAAAGCUAAAUAUGAUGAUGUGACCGAUAGCACACAAGUACCGCGAGGGAAAGGUGAAAAGCAACCAUGCAGAAUGGGUUGAAACAGCAGUGAAAGCGCUACCGGGAUAAGGGCUGGGGAUUGCUUGUGUCGCUUGCGCGUGCUUCAGUGCUGUGCUUGUGAACGGCAUGCAUCGAUUAGGAUGGGGAGAACAGGGCCACCGGGAAUUCGGCAGAUCCGUCUAGUGUUGUAGCCCGGAG
rnacentral:rRNA from 1 species